GCCCCCCUUGCUUUCGUGUAGCUCUCACAGCUUUCGCUUGUCGAAGCAGAGGCUAACGAGAAGUGAAUGAUGGGUGAUGAACAGAUUCUUGCGCCCUUGCCCAUCGGAUUCGCUGUCUUCCUGGUUCACCUGGCAACCAUCCCGAUCACCGGCACCGGCAUCAACCCUGCUCGGAGCCUGGGAGCUGCCGUCAUCUACAACAAGGACCAUGCCUGGGAUGACCAUGUAAGCAUGUUAAAGUGGAUGCACGAUUAAGCUGCAGACUCCCAACCCUUACAACAAUUCUGAUGUAGCUUCGUGUUUGUGUUGAUGCUUUCACAGUGGAUCUUCU
rnacentral:lncRNA from 1 species